CAGCCGUAAACUAUGCUCGCUAGGUGUCAGGCAUGGCGCGACCGUGUCUGGUGCCGCAGGGAAGCCGUGAAGCGAGCCACCUGGGAAGUACGGCCGCAAGGCUGAAACUUAAAGGAAUCGGCGGGGGAGCACAACAACGGGUGGAGCCUGCGGUUUAAUUGGACUCAACGCCGGACAACUCACCGGGAACGACAGCAAUAUGUAGGCCAGGCUGAAGACCUUGCCUGAAUCGCUGAGAGGAGGUGCAUGGCGUAGACGUCU
rnacentral:rRNA from 1 species